rnacentral:rRNA from 1 species
UUCUAUUAUUUUCAUUUAUAAAAGUGUAAAGAUAGUUUUUAGUCUAGAAAAUUAUUAAUUUACUUAUAAGUUAAAAAAAGAAAUUGUGACGAAAGUUUAAAUUGGAGCUGAAAAGGGAAAAUAAUCUAUAAAAAUGUAUUAAUGUACCUUUUGCAUCAUGGUUUAUUGAAUAAUUUAAAGAUAAGGAUUUCCCGAAUUGGAAGGAUCUAAUGUUAUUUGAUAGUUUGUGUUGCAAAACAAUUAAAAAAAUAAUAAUAGAAGUUAAAAGUUAACCGUUUUCCAAGAUAUCUGGUUCUUUUAUUUUAAGGUUCAAUCUUACUUUACAAAAUAUCUUUUUGUAAAGAUAGGGAAAAGGGGGUAAGCUCUUUUCUAACUUAUAAAAUAAAACAAAGUUUAAUUUCUACAAUUAAACAUGAAUUGAAUUUAUAAAAAUUUAAGUUAAAAAUAAAAGAAAUAAUAUUAAUUUUGUAAUUAUAUUAUAAUAAUAAAAUGAGUAGUUUUUAAUGUAUACUAAAUUUUAUUAAGGAACUCGGCAAAUAGUUAUUGUUCGACUGUUUAACAAAAACAUAGCUUAAUGAAAUAAUUGUAAGUAUGGCCUGCCCACUGAAUUUUUAAAUGGCUGCAGUAUAUUGACUGUGCUAAGGUAGCAUAAUAAAUUGUACUUUAAUUGGGUGAUGGAAUGAAAGGCUGCACGAGACAAAAACUGUCUCAAUAAUAAUUAAUGAAAUUAAGAUUUAAGUGCAAACUCUUAAAAGUGUAUGAUAGACGAGAAGACCCUAUAGAUCUUUAUUUAAGUAUUAUUAUUAAAAUAAGAAUUAAAUUUUGCUGGGGAAGUAAGUAAAUAUAACAACUUUACUUUAAAUAAACUUUAUUAAAGAAGAGAAUGAUCUUUAUUUAGACUAUAAGAAAAGUUACCUUAGGGAUAACAGCACACUAAAAAGUUAGGAGAUCACAUCUUAACUUGUGUUUGUGACCUCGAUGUUGAAUUAAGGUUUCCUUAAUAAGAAGAAAUAUUAAAGGUUAGUCUGUUCGACUAAUAAAAUCUUACAUGAUUUGAGUUCAGACCGACGCAAGUCAGGUCAGUUUCUAUCUUCAUAUUGUAUUUCCUACUUAGUACGAAAGGAAUUGUAGGCAGUUAAAUUAUAACAUUAUAAAUAAUAAAU